AUACGGAGGGUGCGAGCGUUAAUUGGAAUUACUGGGCGUAAAGCGUACGUAGGCGGUUGGUUAAGUUAGAUGUGAAAGCCCCGGGCUUAACCUGGGAACUGCAUUUAAAACUGGCGAACAUGAGUUGAGUAGAGGGGAGUGGAAUUUCAGGUGUAGCGGUGAAAUGCGUAGAGAUCUGAAGGAACACCAGUGGCGAAGGCGACUCCCUGGACUCGAACUGACGCUGAGGUACGAAAGCGUGGGUAGCAAACGGGAUUAGAAACCCGAGUAGUCC
rnacentral:rRNA from 1 species